CCUCUACUGUCUGUCAGUGAGGAAAUUGAGAUGUAGCAAAAGUGACACGCAAGUAAAAGCAUGCGGAUUCACACGCAGGAAAAAAUAGUACAAAGUAGAAAUAAGAGACUGUACAGUAAAGGCACAUUUACAAUAUAGGAAAAAAAAAUAUCUAUAUUCAUACAUCCCACAAAUUUGGCAUUCUAAUUUCCAUUUCUAGUUUGGCUCAACCAAUAUGGGGGCCACAUCAAAGAAGGAUGGUGUGGGCAGAUGAGACCAACGUUCAACUUGUUGGCCUACAUGUAAAACCCAGACGUUACCCUGAACUCACCAUCCUCACCGUGAAGCAUCAUGGUGGCAGGAUGUUGCUGUGACAAUAAUUUUCUUUAGUAGGGACAGGGAGCCUGUUCAGAAUCAAGAGGAAGUUGAGCAAUCCUGGAAGAAAACCCGUUAGAGGCUUCAAACGACUCGAGACUUGAGGGGGAGGGUUACCUUCCAGCAGGACGAGGAUGUUUAGAUCAAAGCGCAUUUAUAUGCCGGAAUAAGAGAGACAGCUUCGCCUGAACCAAAACUCAAGUCUUAAUUACAAAAGCAAAGCCGUGAAGAAGAGAGGGUGAAACCUCCUCUUCUCUGUGAGGAUGAGGUCAUGCAAGUUAUUUUAGGAAAAGGCUGUUUUAAAAACUCUUGAACCAUUAGCUCUUCACGCUCUGACAUACUAGCUUUUGCUUAAUUUCCAGAUUUACUGUAUGCAUAUGAUUUAGUAUUUUUUUUCCCUGACAGAUAAAACCUUUAACUUUAUUAAACAGCUUUCCUAACUUCAAACAACUGCAUUUUGUUGUUUGACUUUUAUUUAUACGAAAUAAAGCUCCCUGAGAAAUAAAUUCCAAUUUUCAAGAGGUAGCUGUAUAUUUCCUCUUAUUUCACUACAUUGUGAGCAAGAAAGAACAUUUUUUUUUAUCUUUGUUGUUUUUCUGUUAACAGGAUUGGGUCCAUUAAAAACUGACAGUUACAGGCAUUUCAUUAUUUUCAGCUGAGGGUGAAGAUGACAAGGUUGGAAAAGGUCAUGAUCCUGAGGACCCGCACAGGCUUGACUUGACCUUCCUGACCUGAACCCAGUGUCCCUGCUGUAGGUUCCAGAGAUUUUAGCCCGAUUUGGUUGGAUGAACUCACCUGACCUCCAGGAGACGUCGUUAUCUACCGAAGAAGGCCUCGAAAAAGCAUCAGAAUGAAAAUGUUUCUGCAAACUGACCACCUGCUGCCAAUCUGUGGCCUCACAGGUCAUUUAAAACAUAAACAAGUUCAUAAAUCGAGCACAACAGUCUGGAGCUUAACGUGGUCCAUUAAAAAAAAAAAAAGACUGCGUGACAUGUUGGUCUUUACAAGCAUUAGUGAGUUUGUCAUCACUUAGCGGUGAUUACACAUUAAAUGUUUCAACACUUUAGUGUUUUUUUCUGUGUUGCAGGGCUUUAGUCACCGCUGCGUUAUCCAUUGCCAACGUAUUUUACAUACAAGCUGUACACUUUGCAGCAAAAUAUUUGAACCUAUGUGCUUAAAAUUGCAUUUAAAUGACAUUGUUCAUUGUGUUAUCUUCUGGUGGAUAGUUUUAACACGAAGCCAAUCUAAAAUUCAAAGUUUUAUUCUAUAUUUUAAUUACAUGACUUCUUGGACAACAAUAUUUUUGU